GUAGGUGGCAAGCGUUGUCCGGAAUUAUUGGGCGUAAAGCGCGCGCAGGCGGGGUUUUUAAGUCUGAUGUGAAAGCCCACGGGCUCAACCGUGGAGGGUCAUUGGAAACUGGAGAACUUGAGUACAGAAGAGGAAAGCGGAAUUCCACGUGUAGCGGUGAAAUGCGUAGAGAUGUGGAGGAACACCAGUGGCGAAGGCGGCUUUCUGGUCUGUAACUGACGCUGAGGCGCGAAAGCGUGGGGAGCAAACAGGAUUAGAUACCCUGGUAGUCCACGCCGUAAACGAUGAGUGCUAAGUGUUAGGGGGUUUCCGCCCCUUAGUGCUGCAGCUAACGCAUUAAGCACUCCGCCUGGGGAGUACGGCCGCAAAGGCUG
rnacentral:rRNA from 1 species